rnacentral:tRNA from 1 species
GUAGUUCAGUCGGUAGAACGGCGGACUGUUAAUCCGUAUGUCACUGGUUCGAGUCCAG